rnacentral:rRNA from 1 species
GAUGAACGCAGGCGGCGUGCCUAAUACAUGCAAGUAGAACGCUGAAGGAGGAGCUUGCUCUUCUGGAUGAGUUGCGAACGGGUGAGUAACGCGUAGGUAACCUGCCUGGUAGCGGGGGAUAACUAUUGGAAACGAUAGCUAAUACCGCAUGACAACAGUUAUUGCAUGAUAACUGUUUAAAAGGGGCAACUGCUCCACUACCAGAUGGACCUGCGUUGUAUUAGCUAGUUGGUGAGGUAACGGCUCACCAAGGCGACGAUACAUAGCCGACCUGAGAGGGUGAUCGGCCACACUGGGACUGAGACACGGCCCAGACUCCUACGGGAGGCAGCAGUAGGGAAUCUUCGGCAAUGGACGGAAGUCUGACCGAGCAACGCCGCGUGAGUGAAGAAGGUUUUCGGAUCGUAAAGCUCUGUUGUAAGAGAAGAACGAGUGUGAGAGUGGAAAGUUCACACUGUGACGGUAUCUUACCAGAAAGGGACGGCUAACUACGUG